rnacentral:pre_miRNA from 1 species
CACACAAGGAACCUGUUUGAAAUCGGUUACGCUGCGGCUCGUCAACGGGCACUUUGCUUUAUUAAAAUGCUAGCUGCCUUUUGAAGGGCAACAUCGUAUCCGGUGAACC